AUUGAACGCUGGCGGCAGGCCUAACACAUGCAAGUCGAACGGUAGCACAGAGAGCUUGCUCUCGGGUGACGAGUGGCGGACGGGUGAGUAACGUCUGGGAAACUGCCCGAUGGAGGGGGAUAACUACUGGAAACGGUAGCUAAUACCGCAUAACGUCGCAAGACCAAAGUGGGGGACCUUCGGGCCUCACACCAUCGGAUGUGCCCAGAUGGGAUUAGCUAGUAGGUGGGGUAAUGGCUCACCUAGGCGACGAUCCCUAGCUGGUCUGAGAGGAUGACCCGCCGCAUUGGAACUGAGUCACGGUCUAGACUCCUACGGGAGGCAGCAGUGGGGAAUAUUGCACAAUGGGCGCAAGCCUGAUGCAGCCAUGCCGCGUGUAUGAAGAAGGCCUUCGGGUUGUAAAGUACUUUCAGCGGGGAGGAAGGCGGUGAAGUUAAUAACUUCACCGAUUGACGUUACCCGCAGAAGAAGCACCGGCUAACUCCGUGCCAGCCGCCGCCGUAA
rnacentral:rRNA from 1 species